rnacentral:rRNA from 1 species
CGCCAGACUCCUACGGGAGGCAGCAGUGAGGAAUAUUGGUCAAUGGGCGAGAGCCCGAACCAGCCAAGUCGCGUGAGGGAAGACUGCCCUAUGGGUUGUAAACCUCUUUUGUCAGGGAGCAAUUGGCGCUACGUGUAGCGUUAUCGAGAGUACCUGAAGAAAAAGCAUCGGCUAACUCCGUGCCAGCAGCCGCGGUAAUACGGAGGAUGCGAGCGUUAUCCGGAUUUAUUGGGUUUAAAGGGUGCGUAGGCGGGCUGUUAAGUCAGCGGUCAAAUGUCGGGGCUCAACCCCGGCCUGCCGUUGAAACUGGCGGCCUCGAGUGGGCGAGAAGUAUGCGGAAUGCGUGGUGUAGCGGUGAAAUGCAUAGAUAUCACGCAGAACUCCGAUUGCGAAGGCAGCGCACCGGCGCCCUACUGACGCUCAGGCACGAAAGCGUGGGUAUCGAACAGGAUUAGAUACCCCGGUAGU